rnacentral:rRNA from 1 species
UACAGAGGUGGCAAGCGUUGUUCGGAAUUACUGGGCGUAAAGGGCGCGUAGGCGGCCUUCUAAGUCAGACGUGAAAUCCCCCGGCUUAACCUGGGAACUGCGUCUGAUACUGGGAGGCUUGAGUAUGGGAGAGGGAUGUAGAAUUCCAGGUGUAGCGGUGAAAUGCGUAGAUAUCUGGAGGAACACCGGUGGCGAAGGCGGGACUCUGGGCCGAUACUGACGCUGAGGCGCGAAAGCGUGGGGGAGCAAACAGG